UUGUAUCUCAGGAUUGGCUCAGAGGUUAUUUGGGUCUGACGUUCUGCUUGACUUACCCUGUGGUCUAAUUUUAUUCCGUUUGAUAUGUCUGUCUCUCAUAUCUUUCUUUUAACCAUAGCCUAGUCACCAGAACACCUUUGCGAGCUCAGGCCUGAAUUCUCUAGGCUUUUAUGCCUUCAACUGCCUUGAGCUGUUUCUUGGAUCGAAGGAGACCUCCUGGCAAGCCCCUGCUCUUCCCUGCGUGUGAGGUCUUAGGGAUGCUGGGGGUGACUUUAUUUAGGUCUCAGGAUGCAAUACUGAGGAGGAUGGAUAAUGGCCUGCCCUCUACUGUAUGUAGCUUAUUGUCUAAUUGCAGAUGGGAAAACAUCAGAAAUAACUUGUUCAAAGUCAGACAACAGAUGUGGAAUCACCAUGAGGAAUGUAAGCAUCACCCUGAAGAGCUACACACAUAGCCACUGAGAGCCCACCUCCCAUAACUAAUCCUGAAGCUUGUUAUGUUAAUCCUGAAGUGACUUAGAUGCUUUCUUCUGAAUUGUAAGAAGGAUUUGGCUCAUUAAUUUGAUUUUUAAAGAAAAUUAUUUUUGGCAUGUAAAGAAAAUAGAGAUUCAGCAGGAAUGAGGAAGAAAAAUGCAAUUUCAAGUAAUUUAAGAGUUCACUGGAUGAUGACUAUUUCUGCAAUUGUUUUUACUUGUCUCUAGUUAACAGAUAAUCCAUGAAUUAACAAGUAUAUAAUACAAGCCUCAUGAAAUCUAUUAGGGAAAUGUUUUUGACCCCUGGAAAUAAUUGAGAUAAACUGUAGGUGCACCUGUUCCUAGUCAUGUCUUGGGAAUACUGAAACCUCGGCACAGGAUGAACGUCUGUGGGUAUUAGUCUACAGUAACAAAACAAAGUUGGCAGUGGUCUACGGAAGUCCUAGGGGAGCAGGGAGUCACUGUCUGCAGCACUUAGUGCAUGUUGAUGUCCAUCCACCAGGAAAGGGAAUCUAAAGCGUCCAGAUGACUCCCCCCUCACAAAGCUGUUGUGAAAUAAAAUACAAAUCCUUCCUGAAUAUUUCCAGCUUUCCUUCCUGGAGGAAGUUUUCAGUCAAUGGGAAACAAAGCCUAUUCAAAGGAUUAAAGCCAGAGUCAUUCCAUUGUGUAAGGGCUUCAAUAACUAACAUGGCUUUCCUUCCACUGACAAAAUUUUCAAUUCACAAAUCAUCUCAAAAACAGGAAAUUUUUGGGAAACACAUGCUUAUAAUAACAAACAAGGGAUCUAUCCUAUGGUAUGGAAGUUUUUGCAGAGAUGUUUCCAGUUUUUUUUUUUUAAAUUGUGCUGCAUUCUGGAUGUAUUCGAGGAAGAAUAUUCCUUAAAAGAAGAAGCCAUAUGGCUUGCAACAUAAAAUUGCUCAGUUCCCACCUGACCCUGAGAAUUGAAUAGAGGAACGGAAGAAUAUUAUCCUGGUCAAAUUUUCAUGGUCUCUCUCCAGUUGGUACCAUGGAGGCAGCAAGUGGUUCUCUGACCUGCUCUCUUCUUCCUGCUUUCCUUGGACCUGUUUUCCCUCUCAUUUCAUCCAAAUAUCCCUGGUGUUUAUGUAAGAGAUGGAGUACGUCAAAGCAGCAACCUUGGUCAGCAGGGCUGGAAAGAAAGCUUGGGGUGGGGUCAAUGGAAUGUAAUAGCCACUGAAAACCAUAGAACGGUAAAGCGGUUGUAGAAAUCGUCAUUACCUUUGCAAGCAAGGCUGCUGAAGUAGAGGACAGAGAAGCUUUAGUCUGUGAGCAAACUUAUAUUGCAAAUCUAUGCUAGAUGCUACUGAAUAAACUACUAAGGGAAUUUUU